CCUACGGGGGGCAGCAGUGGGGAAUAUUGGACAAUGGGGGGAACCCUGAUCCAGCCAUGCCGCGUGUGUGAAGAAGGCCCUCGGGUUGUAAAGCACUUUCAGUGAGGAAGAACGCCUGGUGGUUAAUACCCAUCAGGAAAGACAUCACUCACAGAAGAAGCACCGGCUAACUCCGUGCCAGCAGCCGCGGUAAUACGGAGGGUGCGAGCGUUAAUCGGAAUUACUGGGCGUAAAGCGCGGGUAGGUGGCUUGAUAAGCCGGUUGUGAAAGCCCCGGGCUCAACCUGGGAACGGCAUCCGGAACUGUCAAGCUAGAGUGCAGGAGAGGAAGGUAGAAUUCCCGGUGUAGCGGUGAAAUGCGUAGAGAUCGGGAGGAAUACCAGUGGCGAAGGCGGCCUUCUGGACUGACACUGACACUGAGGUGCGAAAGCGUGGGUAGCAAACAGGAUUAGAUACCCGAGUAGUC
rnacentral:rRNA from 1 species